rnacentral:lncRNA from 1 species
AAUCAAGAUAAAAAUUGCACAAUCAAAUAAAAGAAGAAAAUCAAACUCAGAUAACACAGAUGAUUUAUCCUGGUUCGGCCUUCUGCCUACUCCAGUCCGGCCCUUCUUCUCCUCGAGGUACUGAUUUCACUAUCACUUGGUGAAUUAGUUGACAACUAAAAACUCAAGUGAAAUUAAAUCAAGAUAAAAAUUGCACAAUCAAAUAAAAGAAGAAAAUCAAACUCAGAUAACACAGAUGAUUUAUCCUGGUUCGGCCUUCUGCCUACUCCAGUCCGGCCCUUCUUCUCCUCGAGGUACUGAUUUCACUAUCACUUGGCUUUUUGAACAGGGCAAGACCAAAGCCGCUUACAAUCACACAAAACUUCUUUUACAAUCUCUUAAGAAGCUCACAAUUACAAAUCAAUAAACAAUUAGGAUUUAGAGAAUUUUUCUGAAAUUGUAUCACAAUUACAAAUCAAUGAACAUCCAAGGCCCCCUUUAAAUGCACUAGCCAUCAUUUCAAAAAUGGAACAAAAA